UACAGAGGGUGCGAGCGUUAAUCGGAAUUACUGGGCGUAAAGCGCACGUAGGCGGCUUGGCAUGUCGGGUGUGAAAUCCCCGGGCUCAACCUGGGAACUGCAUCCGAAACUGCCUUGCUAGAGUAUGGGAGAGGGAAGUGGAAUUUCCGGUGUAGCGGUGAAAUGCGUGGAUAUCGGAAGGAACAUCAGUGGCGAAGGCGACUUCCUGGACCAAUACUGACGCUCAGGUGCGAAAGCGUGGGGAGCAAACAGG
rnacentral:rRNA from 1 species